rnacentral:rRNA from 1 species
GGCCUAUUGUUAAUAAUUUUAGGUCUGACCUGCCCAAUGAGGAUUUUAAUGGCCGCAGUACUUUGACUGUGCAAAGGUAGCAUAAUCAUUAGUUUUUUAAUUGAAAGCUUGUAUGAAAGGUUUGAUGAGAAAAUAGCUGUCUCUAUUUAAAUUUAUUAGAAAUUUAUUUUUAAGUAAAAAAGCUUAAAUAUUAGUAGAAGACGAGAAGACCCUAUAGAGUUUUAUAAUUAUAUAAAUAAAUUAUUUAUUAGGAUUGUUAUAUUUAUUUAUAGAGUUAUUUAGUUGGGGUGAUUGAAAAAUUAAAAAAACUUUUUUUGUAUUUAAACAUUGAUUUAUGAAUAAAUGAUCCUUUUAUUAAGAUUAAAAGAUAAAAUUACCUUAGGGAUAACAGCGUAAUUUUUUUUUAGAGUUCAAAUUAAAAAAAAAGAUUGCGACCUCGAUGUUGGAUUAAAAUAAAUUAUUGGUGUAGAAGCUAGUAUAUUAGGUCUGUUCGACCUUUAAAAUUUUACAUGAUCUGAGUUUAAACCGGUGUGAG